rnacentral:lncRNA from 1 species
UGUGGGGGUUGAGGUGCUCUUGCAAGAACUCAUAGGUCAUGAAGUGAAUGGCUUGGAAGGGGAUGUUCAUGGUGAGCUGGGUGGUGUAGCUGCGGUAGAAAGCUCCAGCCCCUUCGUUGCGCCACACAGUCCGUACACAGUCUGUCACACACUGGUAAGGCGAGUUGUACAUCUGCAUCCUCUGUUUGACCACUUCUGCAGGGUUCAUCGCUGCGUCGUGGAGCAAUGUUGCUACACACCCGGCUGCACCGUUGGCCACAUGGCUAUUGCCCCCCGCGUGGAUGACGUCGCUCAGCGUCUUUUUUAACUUUUCGUAGCAGGCGAAGUAGAGGGCGUGGGCCGGGCCCGCGCCGGUGGCGGUGAUGUUCAGGCCCCGCAUGGGCCUCCACACGCCCUCGGUACGCACGAUGCGCCACAGGGCCUCCAGCACGUUGCGGUAGCGGGCGGCGGGCUCGGGCCGCAGGCUCUGCAUCCGAGUCUUGACGCAAUCGACGGGGUACAUCACGCAGUGCUCCAUGAUGCCCGCCACGGCGCCCGCCAGCAUGUGCGUGGACACGGCGGCGCCCUGCGGCAGCGCCUCGUAGUCGGGGGCGGGCGGCGAGCGCGGCUCCGGGCCCCGAGCCGCCUCAGCUCCCCCGGGGCCCGACGCCUCCGCGCCGCCCCGCCGCGCCCGGCCCGCGCCGCCGCCGCCGCCCAUCAGCAGCAGCAGGACGCGGCCCGACUCCGCGCCGCCCCGCGCGCCGGGGCUGGCGCCCGCCCCCGCGCCCGCCCCC